GGACGAACGCUGGCGGCGUGCUUAACACAUGCAAGUCGAACGCUGAAGCUUGGGUGCUUGCAUCUGGGUGGAUGAGUGGCGAACGGGUGAGUAAUACGUGAGUAACCUGCCCUUGACUCUGGGAUAAGCCUGGGAAACUGGGUCUAAUACUGGAUACUACAUUCUCUCGCAUGGGGGUGUGUGGAAAGGGUUUUACUGGUUUUGGAUGGGCUCACGGCCUAUCAGCUUGUUGGUGGGGUAAUGGCCUACCAAGGCGACGACGGGUAGCCGGCCUGAGAGGGUGACCGGCCACACUGGGACUGAGACACGGCCCAGACUCCUACGGGAGGCAGCAGUGGGGAAUAUUGCACAAUGGGCGAAAGCCUGAUGCAGCGACGCCGCGUGAGGGAUGACGGCCUUCGGGUUGUAAACCUCUUUCAGCACGGAAGAAGCGAAAGUGACGGUACGUGCAGAAGAAGCGCCGGCUAACUACGU
rnacentral:rRNA from 1 species